UGGGCUAUCGCCAAGCGGCAAGGCACAGGACUUUGACUCCUGCAUUCGUUGGUUCGAAUCCAACUAGCCCAG
rnacentral:tRNA from 1 species